rnacentral:lncRNA from 1 species
UAAGAUGUUUGGUAAAAAAUGUCAAAGGUGCCAAAAAAACCAAGUGGAUCAAAUACUCGCGCCACAGAUGACAAAAUUGUCCAUUUUGUACAGGGACGGUCUAAAGAUUCAACUGUAUACGAAAACGAAUCACAACCUGGGUUCCAUUUUAGACCUAGAAUUUUUAUAAAAGAUAUUUCUUCGGCAUUGAAAAUAAGAGACUGCUGCUGUCCAUGUUCAGGAGGAAUAUUUUCAAGAAGUGAAGGAUGAUUGGCAGAACAUUUGCGAAGUUCAAAACCUCCACUUUGCAUGAGUGCAAUUAAUUCCGACUGAAGCUGCUUAGCUUCAUGCAAGUUUGGGAUACUAGAUACGAUAUCAUUUAUAUAAAGAUCAGAAGCUAAGGCUUCGGCUAAUUGCAUGACUGUUCUAAGAGCUAAAUAUGACGAAGAGGAAACUCCAAAAGUGACAACUUUAAGAGCAUAGGAUUUUAUUGGAUCGUUUGGGGUAAAACGCCAAAGAAUAGGUACGUUGGUAUUCUCGAUGCUCAGAUGCCACCAUAAUUUGACAGUACAUUUUCUUGACAUCUGCUGUGAACGUGUAAGGAUGCAAAUUCAGAAUAAUCGUAGAAAUAUCAUUUUGUAAUUUUGGGCCUGUUAAAAGAGUGUCAUUAAGGCUUAGCCCAGCCGCGUCCUUACAAGAUGCAUCGAACACCACUCGCACUUUGGUCGUAGUACUUUCUGGCUUGACUACACAAUGAUGUGAAGUCGACGUUCCAGUGAACAGAAUCGUCUUAAUGCAAUCGAAUAGAUAUUUGAAAAGGAAGGUUUGCCAUUUUUGAAAGGUAAAAAACUUUAAAUCUACCUGAAGUAUCUCUCGAAUGAGUAUUUUGGAAGAUCGAUUCACAUAAAGUGUCUUCGGAUGAGUUGAUCUCGACAGAAGACUCUGAAAUAAUGAAAGAAGAACUGACUGAAUUAGGAUUUGUAGAAGGUUGCAGAUCUCCUGAGAGAAUACAACUGAAGCAAGUGUUGAGACAUGAAGGCCAUACACUAUCACCCACGAUACGUCCAUCUCGCAAAAUCAAGGGAUAAAAUCCCCCCACCAAGUAGUAAAUCUAUUGGUGCCGGAAUGUUGAAAUCAGGAUCUGCUAAGUUCAAAUUUGCAAUAUUCUGAAAAGUGUUUUUGAGAAUAAAUUUAGUGGGCAUCUUAGAACAUACUUUUGUCAUAACAAGAGCCUCGAAAUAGAAAAUAGGAUGGUUUUGAUUUUGUGGUCGAUUUUUACAUGAAACUAUUUCUGAACUUGGGGUUUCGAUUUGUCCUUCUCCAAAAAUGGUCCUAGAACUUGGCAUUUUUGAAAGGAAUAAGCGGCUUACAUAUUUUUGUCUAAUAAUAUUUAACUGAGAGCCAUUAUCGAUAAAAACCCUGAUUGGUUUAUAACAACUCCAGGCAUAAAGAAUAUCCAAUAUUGCACUGGAGAGAAGAGUUGUCGAAAUUUUAUUGAAGGUCGGAAGUGCCACCAUAUUACAUGGAGGAGUUUCCGCAAAACUCUCACAGGAAACAUGAAGCUAUGUGUGAUUUUUACCUUGAUGACCACACACCCUGCAAGAAUCUUGUGAUUUACAAUCGUGAGCUUUGUGUCCAUUAUGGAGGCAUUUCGUGCACCAAUUGUUUUGAACUACCAUUUGAAGUCGCUCAAUAGGCGUUUUAGAUAAGAAUGACGGACACUUGUUAAUCGAAUGAGGUUCCUUGCAAAUUGGACAUAAAGAUUUUGAAUUUUUAGACGUCUUUACAAGAAAAGUAUGUUGAUUGGAAUCAUUUCGUUUGGGUUUAUAAUUUGAAUGUUUCGAGAAGUUUGAAUUUCUUGAAGAAUUUGAAUUUUUUGAAAGGUUUGAAUUUUUUGAAAAGUUAGUGUCUUUCGGCAACAUUAACGAAACUGAUUCGAGAGCUACACAUUGUUUCUGCAAAAAAAAAGUUUCAAGUAGUAGUAGUAGUAGUAGUAGUUUAUUUGACCAGAUUAUGUAGUUUAUACAUUUAUGGCAAGUCACAGUAAAUUCACAGUCAUAUUAGUCAAAUCAAAAUUAAAAAAUAUAUAAAAAUAUAAUUAAAAGAACAAUUAACGUCUAGUAACAGAUUAUCAAUAUAUAGUAUAAGAUUUAAAAUUUAGACAUGAGCAAUAUAUUUUAAAAUACAAUAAAAGAUCAUGGUUAA